GUGAUGAGUCACCAUGAUCAAAGCAACACUUAUAAAGGACAACAUUUUACUGGGGCUGGUUUACUGGUUCAGAGGUUCAGUCCAUUAUCAUCAAGGCCAGAGCACGGCAGCACCCAGGCAGACAUCGUGUUAGAGAAGGAGUUGAGAAUUCUGGCAUCUUGAUUGGAAGGCAGUUAGAAGACUGACUCUUUUGCACUGGACAGAGCUUCAAGGCCCAUCUCCACAGGAACAUACUUUCUCUAACAAGGCCGUAUCUUCUAACAGUGUCACUCUAUAUGGGCCAAGCAUAUUCAAACCACUACCUUCACCUUAAAUUAAUACCUGUUGCUGUACUGCCUCCUUCCUGCUGUCCUGAGACCCACAGACAUAGUCUUGGAAACAAUCACUGGCUCUAUUGCAUUAUGUAGCCACCAACCAUAAACCAUACAGUUUGCCUGUAUAUCUAAUAAAAAUACCUCUCCAUUUUAGACCACUCUGUGUGAUCCCCCAAGAAGGCAAAUAAUUUCUUCUGUCAAUGGCUAUGAUUCCCCGGAAGAUAUUGAUGCAUUUGGGAGUAUAAUUUGGCAGAGGAAGGAGAUAACCUAAAACCACAAGCUGCCCUAAACACUCUAUUACGAACAAAGAGAAAACAGCUGAAUUGAGUUGGAGGAAAGCCUUGUUGAAUGAUAAAUUGCCAGACCCUUUGAGGCUCAGGAGGUUUCAGCCCAUUCACCCCAGCUGCAUUUUUAUGAAUACUCGAGGAAAGAACUUUGAAACUGAAAGGCUCUGACUCAUGGUUCGACUGUCUGCAUUAGCUCCCAAAGGUGGCCCGAGUCUUAAGAAUCACAGCUGCGAAAUUCUUAGUGUGCAGGUCGCAGUGUACAGGCCUGGGCCAUUAUGCUAGUCGUUGCUCUCCUCAUACACAAUGGAAUCAGCCAAAAACAAUGCCAAUACUUGUGUUUCAACUUAAGCUGUGUAUUUAGUUUAAGAGUCACGAUUCUAGAAAUUUCUCCUUUGAGCAAUGGUGAUCAAGUGUGAAGGCUUUGAGUCAACUGGGCAAGUCUCUGCUUCUAGGGGUAUUUGUCUUGUUUUCUCCCUUCUGCCAUCUUGGAAGCCUCCUGAAAGAAGUUUCUCCUCACUCUUCCAGAUCCUCUCUCGUCAAGGAGCAUGGAUUCUCCAUUUGAAAGCCAGAAUUAAUGGUCAAAGAGAAAUAUAGCAGAUGAAAAACAGAUACAAUCUACCAUACCAAUUGAUUUGAAUGUUACAAACAAGCUUAACUUUAAAGGAGACGGUUUGGCAGCUGGGGGAAGGACAUGGUGCUGAUGUCAAAGGUUGCAGCUUAUCUUCUACCGAGGAUCCAAUCCUUCAUCUUGCUGCACAAGGCUGCCUCUCACAGGGGCCAGUGAUGAAUCUCAUCCUUGAUCUCCACUACGUCUGCAGGUUGGUUCCAAGCUUGCCCUGAGUCCUAAGUACUAGAAACCAUCACUUCCCAACUGCAGAUAAAGGAUAUUAACGUGGCAAAAAUAUUCCAGAAAGCAGCAACAAUAAGCAAAAAAUAUUUUGUGGUUUUAUUGGAGGGAAAUAGAUGAACUGUGAAUGUCAGAGUUCCGAGGAUCACUCAAGUUGGAUGGUGUGUGUGCAGGAGUCUCACCGUAUUUUUGGGUUUAUAUAAAAUGGCAAAGAUUGGAACACUGAAGGAAUUUCCUUUAUAAAAAUACACCGAGUUAUUUACUCACUAACCCUAGAAACCAAACAAGGUUUCUGCUACUUCUUAGAAUUUUCUGUGCUUUUUAAAAUGACUUUGAAAAUAACAUUCACAAUAGCUUCAAAAACUGAUUAUAAAUAAACCUACCCAAGGUGAAAAUUCUCCUGCAGUGAAAAACUGUAAGCUGCUGAAUAAACAGAAGAAGACCCCAGAAGAUCUUCUGUGCUCUUGGAGAGACCAGAAUGAUGCUAUGAAAGUGGCUACAUUACCAAAGAUGGUCUACAGAUUCAAUGCAAUUCCCACUGAACUCCAGUGAUAUUCUGCACAGAACUAGGAAAAAAAACAGUCCUAAAAUUUAUAUUGUAAAACAAAAAGCUAUGAAAAACAAAAACAAUCCUUACCAAAAGGAGGAGAAAUGUUGGGAAUACCGUUAUGCUUCAUUCCAGAUGAUACCAUAGAGCUGUUAUAACAAAAACAACGUGAUGCUGCCCCAAUGGAAUCUAGACCAAUGGAUUAAAAAAGAGGAGCAGAUAUAAACUUAGGUAGCUAUAGCUGCUUGGUUUUCGACAGAGAUGUCAAAAACACACAUUGGAGAAAUGGCAGCUACUUUAGCUAAUGGUGCUGAGGAGAACUGGCUAUCUACUGCAGGCACUGGAUAUCUACACGCAGGCACUAGCUCUUUAUCUCUCAGAUUGCACAACAAUAAAGUAAAACUCAACCAAAGACCAACUAAAAGACGCAAAACUCUGAAAUUAUUAGAAUAAAAAGAGAAAUUUAAAAAAAAAAACCUUUCCAAGAAAUAAGUCUAAUCAAGGACUUUCUGAAUAGGUCUCUAGUCUCUCAGUACAAGCAGGCAGAAACCACAACCGAGACCUCACGAAAUUAAAAACCUUCUGCACAGGAGAGAGGAACAGUGAACUGAGUGAAGAGAGACUACAAAAUGACAGGGAGUCUUGGCUAGCUCUGUGUCUGUCAGAGGACUAAUAUUAGAAUACAUCGAAAACUCAAAAAAAACUACUCAGUGAAUAACAGAACGAUGAAGUAAACAGACAAUUCUCAAAAUAUGACCCACAAAUGACCAAGAAACAUGAAAAAUUUCAAUUUCACUAGUUCUGAGGAUUAGUGUUGACUGUUGCCUGGAUAUAGUGUAGGUAGCACCCAUGAGGAAUUAUUUAGAUCACUUUGGACAGUCUACCGGGCUGUGAGGGAUUUUCCUUGAUCUAAUUGAUGUAGGAAGACCCAUUGUGAAUGUGGGUGGCAGCCUUUCAUGAGCUGAGCCUUGGAGCGAAGGGAAGGGGAAGGUGAGAGGCAGCUGAGCCCUUGCAUGAGAGCAUAAGUUUACUGGUUUCUGCUCUUGUUACAGAUGUGACUAAAGGCUUCAAAGUCCUGCUGCCCUGACUUGCCCACAAUGACAAACUGUAACCUGGAAUUAUGAAUCAAAUUAAAACAUUCUCUCUUGAUUCUGUCAGGGUAUUUUAUCAUAUCAACAGGAAUGAAGCUAAGACACUAGCUGUCAUAGAAAUGCAAAUUAAGACUACAUUGUGUGUGUAUGUGUGUGUGUG
rnacentral:lncRNA from 1 species